rnacentral:tRNA from 1 species
ACAUCGAUGGUUCAGUGGUAGAAUUCUCACCUUCUAUGUGGGAGGCCCAGGUUCGAUUCCUGGCCAAUGCA